GAUGAACGCUGGCGGCGUGCUUAACACAUGCAAGUCGAACGGUGAAGCAGGAGCUUGCUCUUGUGGAUCAGUGGCGAACGGGUGAGUAACACGUGAGCAACCUGCCCCUGACUCUGGGAUAAGCGAUGGAAACGGCGUCUAAUACUGGAUAUGUGAUUUGACCGCAUGGUCUGCCUCUGGAAAGAAUUUCGGUUGGGGAUGGGCUCGCGGCCUAUCAGCUUGUUGGUGAGGUAAUGGCUCACCAAGGCGUCGACGGGUAGCCGGCCUGAGAGGGUGACCGGCCACACUGGGACUGAGACACGGCCCAGACUCCUACGGGAGGCAGCAGUGGGGAAUAUUGCACAAUGGGCGGAAGCCUGAUGCAGCAACGCCGCGUGAGGGAUGACGGCCUUCGGGUUGUAAACCUCUUUUAGCAGGGAAGAAGCGAAAGUGACGGUACCUGCAGAAAAAGCACCGGCUAACUACGUGCCAGCAGCCGCCGUAA
rnacentral:rRNA from 1 species